GCUGAAAGCAACAGACGAAAAUUUUGUAGCAGAACUUGAAGAAAAUCACAGCAUCCAAACUGUACAUAAGAAAAAACAAAAACUGAAUUCUAUAGAUCAGUAGAAGCAGAAGCAAGAAAAGUGAGCCAGCAGUAGACAACCAACAGCAAGCCAAAUCAAGCAACAAGUGGAGGCAGUAGACUAAAAUAGCAAUCCAAAUAGGAAAAAAUAUGGCUUUCAAAAGCAGCAAGAACAGAGGUCCAGCUUACUACGAUGAACAGGAACUGAAGUAGAGACAGAAGAAAGUAAAAU
rnacentral:misc_RNA from 1 species